rnacentral:rRNA from 1 species
ACGAACGCUGGCGGCGUGCUUAACACAUGCAAGUCGAACGGAAAGGCCCUGCUUUUGUGGGGUGCUCGAGUGGCGAACGGGUGAGUAACACGUGAGUAACCUGCCCUUGACUUUGGGAUAACUUCAGGAAACUGGGGCUAAUACCGGAUAGGAGCUCCUGCUGCAUGGUGGGGGUUGGAAAGUUUCGGCGGUUGGGGAUGGACUCGCGGCUUAUCAGCUUGUUGGUGGGGUAGUGGCUUACCAAGGCUUUGACGGGUAGCCGGCCUGAGAGGGUGACCGGCCACAUUGGGACUGAGUUACGGCCCAGACUCCUACGGGAGGCGGCAGUGGGGAAUAUUGCACAAUGGGCGGAAGCCUGAUGCAGCAACGCCGCGUGCGGGAUGACGGCCUUCGGGUUGUAAACCGCUUUCGCCUGUGACGAAGCGUGAGUGACGGUAAUGGGUAAAGAAGCACCGGCUAACUACGUG